AAUCAAAAGUGGCUCUAAUUUGAUUGGAUGUUGGGCCGACACACGAAUGUACACAUACACAGACAGAGGACCAUGGCGCGCGGCUUUUUCUCGAUAUACUUUAUAAUAUACUUUAUAAUCCGUGGAUUUAGGGGAAAAAUAGCAAGUCUUUCCGAGUCAGAGGGCUAAAGUCCGAGUCAAGUCACAAGUUAUGUAUAUCAAAGUCCGAGUCAAGUCACGAGUCAGAGGUAGGAAAGUCCAAGUCGAGUCUAAAGUCGUCAAAUUCAUGACUCGAGUCUGACUCGAGUCCAAGUCAUGUGACUCGAGUCCCCACCUCUGGUGUAAAUACAGUAUGUCUUCCACUUGUAGGCAUGCGCUCAUCGAUAUCAGCACCCGAGACCUUACAGCCCUAACUUGUUGACGGGUCAGUGUUACCUGCUAGGAGACCAGCUGCAGGUCGGGAGCGAGGAGAGAUCAUGGCGGAGGGUGGUUUGUGAUAAUGGACACUUGGCCAAUCGGCGGAACAACCACGAGUGGUUUGCAUACUGCCAACAGGGACACGGAGCAUCGUUUGCCAAGGAUAAUACUUCUGUACUUUUUGGAGCUCCAGGAGCUUAUGAAUGGAAAGGAAUUGUGCGUAUGGAAGUUCUGGAUAACUUGGACUAUACAAAUGAAAAUUCUCGAGAAACUGGAUUUACAGAUCGCUUUGAUCAUGAGCGCAUUCCUCUUCAACCAAACAGCUACCUGGGAUUCUCUGUAGACUCUGGAAUGUCUCUAAUCAGGAAGGGGGAGCUGACGAUUGUGUCAGGAGCCCCCCGAGGAGGCUUCAGCGGCCAGGUGGCC